UGAAUGAUCCUUGGUGUAGUAACUGGCCAA
rnacentral:piRNA from 1 species